CGCCAUGGUGCCUACAUAAACACAGCAAACUCAGAACAUUUUUGGAACCGCUGUAAAUAAAUGCUCAUGAACGCCAAGAUGACCUGACACCCUUGCUGUAGCAGUGAAAUCCUUCAUCCUGUGGAGCAGCAGUGUUGUGAGAAAAGCAGACGGGGGCCACUAACACCAGACAAUACAGAGAAGUCUGACUUCUACCUGUCCAGCGUUCUUUUGUCCAUAAUGAUCUGAUGAGUUCCCAUACAGUAGGUAGCAGUUUGCAGUCUCUGUUGGUUCACCAUCCACCAACAUAGAAGUAGAAUUACAUUGUUUUUUAGUUUUUUAGAGAUGUGGGUAGGUUGCAAAAAGGUGUUUUAGGGACAAAACUGUUUUUUUUUUCUGAUUUCCACAUGGACUGUCUUAUUGAACGUCAUGUCAGUUUGGUUUACGUUGUUGUUUUAGCAGCAAUGUCACAGUGGGACAAAAAAGUAUUUGUCAAUCACAGAUUCUGAAAGUUGUCUUACUUAAAAACGUGAGAGAGGUCUAUAGACCUAAUGUUAAACUGUGAGAGAGACAGAAUGUAAAUGAAUGCCUAGUCCACUUCAGAACCUUUGUUGUGACUUUUACAAAAGUGAAUUUCACAAAAUCUGAUGAGUUUCUUUAAUUCAGAGGCAGCGUGUAUGGGGUAGAUGGUGUACACUGAGCGUAUAGCGCUUUUUUCCUUCCUCAAAGGUCCAAAGUGCUUCACAGUCACAGUCCCAUUCACACACUCAUAGUGCCUCUGCUGCUGAACACUGGCACCAACCAAUAACCACCAGAUGCAAUGUGGGGCUCAGUGUCUUGCCCAAGGAUACAGAGGGAGGCAAGCCAGGAAUCAAACAUGCAGUCUUCCAAUCAGAGGUCAACCGCCCUGCCACUGCGCCAUGGCAGCCCCAUAAUGAAGGAUAAUGGAAAAAGUCCAGUGUUUAUUUAGAGCAGAAUGUUAAUACUAACAUGAAGUUAGCUAUAACUGUUUGAAGUUGAACCCAGGUCAGUUUUUAAUUUUAUAGUUGUUUUUUUUUUUAGCAAAACAGCUUAACUGACCAUUUUUGGUGAGCUAUUAUUCACUUUAUUGGUAAAAAAAAC